rnacentral:rRNA from 1 species
GUGAGGAAUUUUCCGCAAUGGGCGAAAGCCUGACGGAGCAAUGCCGCGUGAAGGAUGAAGGCCUAUGGGUUGUAAACUUCUUUUCUUAGAGAAGACUAUUGACGGUAUCUGAGGAAUAAGCAUCGGCUAACUCUGUGCCAGCAGCCGCGGUAAGACAGAGGAUGCAAGCGUUAUCCGGAAUGAUUGGGCGUAAAGCGUCUGUAGGUGGCUUCAAAAGUCUCCUGUCAAAGAUCAGGGCUUAACCCUGGGCCGGCAGGAGAAACUCUGAGGCUAGAGUUUGGGAGGGGCAGGGGGAAUUCCCGGUGGAGCGGUGAAAUGCGUAGGGAUCGGGAGGAACACCAAGGGCGAAAGCACUCUGCUGGGCCACAACUGACACUGAGAGACGAAAGCGAGGGGAGCAAAAGGGAUUAGAUACCCGGGUAGUCC